rnacentral:rRNA from 1 species
ACGAACGCUGGCGGCGUGCUUAACACAUGCAAGUCGAGCGGUAAGGCUCCUUCGGGAGUACACGAGCGGCGAACGGGUGAGUAACACGUGAGCAAUCUGCCCUUCACAUCGGGAUAACCCCCGGAAACGGGAGCUAAUACCGGAUACGACCACUUCAGGCAUCUGAUGGUGGUGGAAAGUUCCGGCGGUGAAGGAUGAGCUCGCGGCCUAUCAGCUAGUUGGUGAGGUAAUGGCCCACCAAGGCUUCGACGGGUAGCCGGCCUGAGAGGGUGACCGGCCACACUGGGACUGAGACACGGCCCAGACUCCUACGGGAGGCAGCAGUGGGGAAUAUUGGACAAUGGGCGAAAGCCUGAUCCAGCAACGCCGCGUGAGGGAUGACGGCCUUCGGGUUGUAAACCUCUUUCAGCGCAGACGAAGCGAAAGUGACGGUAUGCGCAGAAGAAGCACCGGCCAACUACGU